UACGAAGGGGGCUAGCGUUGCUCGGAAUCACUGGGCGUAAAGGGCGCGUAGGCGGCCGAUCAAGUCAGGGGUGAAAGCCUGUGGCUCAACCACAGAAUUGCCUUUGAUACUGUUCGGCUCGAGACCGGGAGAGGUAAGUGGAACUGCGAGUGUAGAGGUGAAAUUCGUAGAUAUUCGCAAGAACACCAGUGGCGAAGGCGGCUUACUGGUCCGGUUCUGACGCUGAGGCGCGAAAGCGUGGGGAGCAAACAGG
rnacentral:rRNA from 1 species